GAGAAAGGGUCUCGCUCUUGUCACAAAGGCUGCAAUGCAAUGAGCCUGCACCCAGCCAAUAAAAUUUAUUUUUAAAAACAUUUUUCAAAAUUGAGGAUAAGUAAAGCACAAGAAUGAAGAACAGUAUGAAGUCUUUCCCCUAGAUUAUUUCAUGGAAAUCUCACCACAAUCUUAGUAAAAAUGAUAGCCUAUUUUUUUUAAAAAAGGUCGAGACAAUAGUCCAAAGACACUUUACUAAUAAACGGAGGAACCCAAAUAUUUCUGCCCCUAAAUCCAUGGCUCAUGUUACUACACCAUUUUCUUUUCCAUUCUAGAAUGAAAACCAAUUAUGAAAAAAAGUGGUAGAGAGGAAAGAGGAACAGUAAGGGGGAGAAAUUUAUUAACCUAUAGGUUUACAUGAUCAAAGUAGUUAAUGAAAACAAAAUGUGGAAUAGAGCCAUUAAAAAAAAAACUAACUGCAAACUUGGAUCACUGUAAUCACACUGAUUAAACAGACCCAUUCUAA
rnacentral:lncRNA from 1 species